rnacentral:rRNA from 1 species
UACGUAGGGUGCAAGCGUUGUCCGGAAUUAUUGGGCGUAAAGAGCUCGUAGGCGGUUUGUCGCGUCUGCUGUGAAAACUCGGGGCUCAACUCCGAGCUUGCAGUGGGUACGGGCAGACUAGAGUGCGGUAGGGGAGACUGGAAUUCCUGGUGUAGCGGUGGAAUGCGCAGAUAUCAGGAGGAACACCGGUGGCGAAGGCGGGUCUCUGGGCCGAUACCGACGCUGAGGAGCGAAAGCGUGGGGAGCAAACAGG